rnacentral:tRNA from 3 species
GUCUCCGUAGCUCAGUUGGUAGAGCAAUUGACUCUUAAUCAAUGGGUCGCAGGUUCGAACCCUGCCGGGGACA